UAAACGACUCUCGGCAACGGAUAUCUCGGCUCUCGCAUCGAUGAAGAACGUAGCGAAAUGCGAUACUUGGUGUGAAUUGCAGAAUCCCGUGAACCAUCGAGUCUUUGAACGCAAGUUGCGCCCGAAGCCAUUAGGCUGAGGGCACGCCUGCCUGGGUGUCACACGUC
rnacentral:rRNA from 1 species